CAAAAGAAAGAGUAAAAUAGCCCCACGCAGCCUCCCAAGAUCCAUCAUGGAAAAAAAACCACCCAAGAUCUCAUCGUCCCCAACCCACGCGACAAUGAUCCCCUCCCACAUCGCGUCGUCGGUCGGUCCCUCCCCCAGCGCACCGCCGGCCGGCCCCUUCCCUUGCACCCCGCCGACUGCCCCAUCUACCCUAGCGCGCCACCACCAGCCCCCUCUCCUAGCGCACCGCCGCUGACCCCCUCUCCCCCAGUGCGCCACCGCCGACCUUCUUCCCCAGUGCGCCGCCGCCGCCCCCCUCUCCCCCAGCGUGCCGCCGAGGGCUCCAUCUACACCCGCUGCGGCCGCCACCUGUCCCCAUUUUCUUGUCGUGCCACAACGCCCUAGAUGGCACACUUCCGGCUGCACCAUCGUGGUGGAGGCGCGGUGCUGUCUUUGAGAUGCUCCUCCGGCGCUAACUCGAACUGCGGGGCAUCGUCCUUCGAACAGCUGGGCCUCCUAUCCCCUGACCACCGGCAGGCCAUUGUCUCUGGUUGUCAGCGCGACUCAUGGGAAGGAGUCCUCCACAAAACAUGCGUAGGCUGCUGCUCUUCUCUACUCUCUCUCUCUCAUGUGAUGUGCUCCUAUGUGAAAAUUUCUGUCAUAUUGCCAAAAUGAGUGAAAUUUUAUGUUGUUCUUUGUGUGAAAUGGAUAUGCCUGUGAUUUUCAAUACCUUGAAUAGUUCAAGUACAUAAUAAAUACAAGUACAUUCUGCAAAAACAAACAGUAGAUGCAAAAUUUUCAUUUUUGCUAAAUUAUGCAAGUGGUAAUGAUAUGUGUUUCUUUUGUGGUGAAGAUUUCGGCAGUAAACUAUGCAAAAAUUUACACAACUACUGAAGUCCAACUUGAAAACCAAUAGCAGUUCAUUAGUGCAAAGAUGCAUCAAAUAAGAAAAAGCAAACCUGACCUGGAAGCAAUUUCACAUCCGAUGGUUUAUUUCGUAGCUCAUCGUUACUAGUAUAAGCCCAUGCUUGUGUCCCCGAUCUUGUUGUUUAUUCUAUAGUUCAGUGUGUAUUAAAAUAAGUUCAAUUUGUGUUAAAUAAACAAGUUUAGCAUUAUAUAAUAUAACAAAAUCACUACAUGGGAAUUUGGCAAGUAGUUCCACGAAAAGGUUUAUGACAGUUUAGACUCAAAAAAGGCAUGGAUCCAGGAUGGGCAACAUCCAGUCGGCGCCUGAUGCCUAUCUCAUCGGUGCGGUUCCUGCAGCUGUAGCGCUUCUGCUCCACGCCACCGCUGGUCGAUGCCCCGUAUGCUGCUACUUCUCCUCUCCCUUGCUCCCUGUGCUGCAACUCCUCCCUUGCCCUCUCAUGGCGAAUACCACAGAAAAAAGGCACGAGGAUGUGCUGCCCUCAGUUCUCUCUCGACAAAUCCAGCGGUGCACGUUCUUUGGUGCAACAAGUAUUGUUGGCGGCGAUGCCUGCAUCAUGGCCCAUUGAGGAGAUGCAUUUUUUUUAUGCACAUAUAUUUCUUUAGUUUUGUGUUCUUUUGUUUGCCCCAGUUGUUCCUUCUUUUAAUGUUUCUAUGCUGUGCAAUUAUGAUCCCUUCGUGAAGUGAAAAAAGAAAAGCGAGCUAAGUACUUGUUUGGAAAGCUUGCAAGUUUGAACACAUAAACCUAAAAUAAUUUCAUUGAAAAAGAUUGGUUUUGUUAAAAAAAUGAGUUUUUGGUGGGAACAUCACUGAGGAACAUAGAACUUCUCGAAUGUUCUUUUCUCUAAAUGUAUAACUAUGGUAGAUGCAAUCAUAUGCAAUAUGUAUGUUCAUAUAGAUAUAUGGUACAACUAUCUUUUCCUACAUGCACGUCGUAGAUGGUCGGCUACUAGUCUUCUGAUAGAAGAGCCCCCAAAAACAGCCUGAAGCUAUUAUCUCUCCCUAAUGUUGAUAGAAGAGCUUCAAUUAUUUUUAGUUCAUCUUUUGUAUGCUUUUCAGUCCAUCUACUUCCCGGACACAAGUCCAAUUAGUAGAAAUUCAAAUUUGAAAAUAGCAUCCAUUUUGUUCUGGUAAUCAUCUUCAACCAAUUUUGUAUAUAUCGAACUUGCAUAUGUUGGUUAGUAGGGUAGAUCUGUGUUGUAUAAGAAGCUAGAUGUUAAUUUUCAAUUAUGCUGUGACAAUAUUUUUAGUCAUCUUGAGUCUGUUGCGUAUAUCAGUUCAGAUCCUUUUUCUUGUUGGUCUAGUGCAUGUCCCGCAAUGAGCCAGGACAGGGGAGUUGUUGGACGCUACCGUAUUUGCUAGCCGUCACGAUGUGAGCAGCUAUGCCUAUUGGUCACCGUUGGUUGUCGACCAUUCUUCUUCACCAUCGCCUGAAGGUCAACUUCUGGUACAUGGGAAUGGAACACCAGACAAAGCAAAAUUGAGUGAUCAUUGGGAUGGAACACCCACAUCCGUAACUACCACUCUCUCUGUAUUCUCAAAGAUUGACUGUGUUUGUGCUGCUACAUCUCUCUCUACUAGUUGGUGUGAUUAAAUUUAUAUUUUGAUCGUUGGAUCCUCGCUUGUUAAAUCUAGCAUGCAAAAAAGUUUAGAAAAGGAGGCCCGAACAAAUUGGGUGCACUCUACCUUUUUGUUCUUAUGUUUGGUAAACCUUGUUUAGUUUGCAUUGGAGAACUUGUACUAUUCAUGUUCCUCUCAAGCUAUAUGUUUGUAUGCCUAAAAAGAACUUCAAUCAUCCUUUUGAUGUUUCUUUAUUGUCAAAUAGAAGCUAAAUAGUCUGGACAUAUGCAUUAAUAACAUUUCUUAUGGAGCAGCACACAUAUUUAGAAAUUUAAUGUAAUUACAAACCAUGAAUUUUCAUUCCCAAAAGCCUGCAAAAAAACAUCAAUUUAUAUAUUGACAUCUGCUACCGGUCCUUUUCUUGUAUAUGUUCAGUUCGACAUAUGGUGGUUCUCCAGAUCAACAUUGUGUGCUUUUUCAAUUCAUCUUGCAGGUGAAAAAGUAGCUCCCUUUUAGUUCAAAUGGAUCCAAAAAAUGGGUGCUGCAUUACAGUUCAAGACCAUUGCAUCUACUUGCGGAUGGCUUCCAUUUUGUGCUCCAUGGGUGUUUGUUCUUAUUCCUGAAAGAAAGAAAAUAAUCUAUUGCAUGUGAUAGUUCAUCUGAUCUAUAUGAUUUUUUUACCUAUUUUGCUCCAUUUUUUUCCUUACAGAUCAUGAUCUUGAGAGGCUCGCUGUCGAGACUAAAGGGAAAUUCCAUUUUCCAAUUGUUCUUUUAGUAGUACUGUUUCAGUCCAACUUUGAUAGGAUAAUGAGGAUCAGUGAACUUCCAAUGGUUACUUCUUAUAGUUGUUCUUUGUAUUACUUCAUGGGCGAUAGGGAUAUGCACAAGUCGUUGUCGUCCACAUCGUCGCCACAAGGAAACACCAGCAUCACUGCCAGCUACACGCACAUCUUUGGCACUUUCUCAAGUUGUCGCCGCGUGGACGCGUCCCACUCCAACGGCAUGGCUUAUGCUUCAGUGGCAAACAGUGGAGCCCGCUGGAGGAGUCACGGGUCAAGGACCUCCUGCUCAACAGUACAACGUCUUGUUUUGUGGCAAGUCGCUCAAGGAGCUGAGUGCAUGCCGCAGAAAAAACAAUUGUCGGGUUUUUGGUGGCCAAAUAUUAUUGAUAUGGAGAUGGAUAACUAUGUGGAUGUGCUCCUGUUGUUUUUCUGGAAAAAAACAAGAUGCCAUGUUUUACUUUAUGAGCUUUCCAAUUUGCAUACUUUAAAGUUGCUGCUUGCUCCCACCCUUAGAUUGUGCAAUUUCAAUGGGUGUCGUCGUGCAUGUUCGGAAGUAUGCCCUUUGUGCAAAAUGUGUGAAGUUUUGUCAGUAUUUUGUAUUUUCAUUUGGCAGAGGCUUCAUGUGGUCUUAUGGAGCUUUAUAGAUGUACUGUCACUACACUUUUAAGGCCCUACAGUUCAUUAUAUCAUACAUGUGUGGUCGUUCAAUAUGUA